UACAGAGGGUGCAAGCGUUGUCCGGAUUUAUUGGGUUUAAAGGGUGCGUAGGCGGCAUUUUAAGUCAGUGGUGAAAUACUUCAGCUCAACUGGAGAGGUGCCAUUGAUACUGGGAUGCUUGAGUACUGAUGAGGUAGGCGGAAUGGACGGUGUAGCGGUGAAAUGCUUAGAUAUCGUCCAGAACACCGAUAGCGAAGGCAGCUUACUAAGGAGUAACUGACGCUGAGGCACGAAAAGUGUGGGGAUCAAACAGG
rnacentral:rRNA from 1 species